rnacentral:rRNA from 1 species
GUUUUCGGUUAAUCUGUACGCUCACGUACAGGCUGCCGGGAAUACUGCAAAGCUAGGGAGUGGGAGAGGUAGACGGUACUCGGUAGGAAGGGGUAAAAUCCUUUGAUCUAUUGAUGACCACCUGUGGCGAAGGCGGUCUACCAGAACACGUCCGACGGUGAGGGAUGAAAGCUGGGGGAGCAAACCGGAUUAGAUACCCGGGUAGUCCCAGCUGUAAACCAUGCAAACUCAGUGAUGCAUUGGCUUGUGGCCAAUGCAGUGCUGCAGGGAAGCCGUUAAGUUUGCCGCCUGGGAAGUACGUACGCAAGUAUGAAACUUAAAGGAAUUGGCGGGGGAGCACCACAAGGGGUGAAGCCUGCGGUUCAAUUGGAGUCAACGCCAGAAAUCUUACCCGGAGAGACAGCAGAAUGAAGGUCAAGCUGAAGACUUUACCAGACAAGCUGAGAGGUGGUGCAUGGCCGUCGCCAGCUCGUGCCGUGAGAUGUCCUGUUAAGUCAGGUAACGAGCGAGAUCCCUGCCUCUAGUUGCCACCAUUACUCACAGGAGUAGUGGGGCGAAUUAGCGGGACCGCCGCAGUUAAUGCGGAGGAAGGAAGGGGCCACGGCAGGUCAGUAUGCCCCGAAACUCUGGGGCCCACGCGGGCUGCAAUGGUAACGACAAUUGUUUUCGAAUCCGAAAGGAUGAGGUAAUCCUCAAACGUUACCACAGUUAUGACUGAGGGCUGCCACUCGCCCUCCCCAAUAUGGAAUCCCCAGUAACUGCCUGUCAUUAUCCCGCGGUGAAUACGUCCCUGCCUCCUUCAC